rnacentral:misc_RNA from 1 species
UGGUUCCGGCAUCGAUGAAGAACGCAGCGAAAUGCGAUAAGUAAUGCGAAUUGCAGAAUUCAGUGAGUCAUCGAAUCUUUGAACGCACAUUGCGCCCUUUGGUAUUCCGAAGGGCAUGCCUGUUCGAGCGUCAUUGUCACCCCUCAAGCCUGGCUUGGUCUUGGAUUCCAUCAUAACAGGUGGACCCUAAAGAUAACGACGUCGGUGGUCGACUUCUCGGUGCAACGAGCCUUUUGGCACGUAUCGUAGAGGUUGACCACUUCGGUCUUAACGAUAAUUUUUUGAGAUUGACCUCGGAUCAGGUAGGAAUACCCGCUGA